GACGAACGCUGGCGGCGUGCUUAACACAUGCAAGUCGAACGGAAAGGCCCUGCUUUUGUGGGGUGCUCGAGUGGCGCACGGGUGAAUAACGCGGGAGUAACCUGCCCUUGACUUUGGGAUAACUUCAGGAAACUGGGGCUAAUACCGGAUAGGAGCUCCUGCUGCAUGGUGGGGGUUGGAAAGUUUCGGCGGUUGGGGAUGGACGCGCGGCUUAUCAGCUUGUUGGUGGGGUAGUGGCUUACCAAGGCUUUGACGGGUAGCCGGCCUGAGAGGGUGACCGGCCACAUUGGGACUGAGAUACGGCCAAGACUCCUACGGGAGGCAGAAGGGGGGAAUAUGGAAAAAUGGGGGGAAGCCUGAUGCAGCAACGCCGCGUGCGGGAUGACGGCCUUCGGGUGUUAACCCGCUUUCGCCUGUGACGAAGCGUGAGUGACGGUAAUGGGUAAAGAAGCACCGGCUAACUACGUG
rnacentral:rRNA from 1 species